AUAAGGUAGAAAAAAGAGAUCUAGAGGAUAUAUUCUUAUAGCUAGCUAGCUACUUCCUUUCUUCCAGAAUUAUAACAUGGGAUGGGGACAUAUCAAGAUCUAGUGCUGGAGAGUAGUGCUGUCUUGCAUUCAGCGCAAAAUCAUAUAUAUCCCUGCCUAAAAACUCAGAAUCAUUCUAACUCCUUUAUUCCGGGGUCCUAUAUAUUUUAUUUCUCUGUGUGACCCUUUUACAAACACGGCACAAUCCGUACUGUAGCAAUUAAAGCUUAUAUAUAUAUAUAUAUAUAUAUAUAUAUAUAUAUAUAUAUAUAUAUAUAUAUAU
rnacentral:lncRNA from 1 species